ACGCUCACAUCAGCAGCACUUUCAGAUGUUCUAAACGAGUCUGCAGUCAGGAGGGAGGAGAGCGAUCAGAGGUCACGACCUCUGGGGCUUCUCUCCAGGUCUACCUGUUGAAAACGUGAUCAUCUGUAUCCAUAGCAACCAGGUUCACAGGACCCACGACUUGAUUCAUGCUGAACAACUUUGCUACCAAAGUACUGAUCCUCCCCCUCACCCUGGCUGGGUGAUUGCUGUUUGCGUUCUCGUUGUCGUUCUCGUCAUAGUUGUGGUUCUAAUCGUCUGGCUUUGUAUUGAUCGAAGGAGAUUAAUCUGUAAGUCCAAGUAAACGUUCCAACAAAUAAUCUCAACAUCUGUAAAAUCCUCUUUGUUUCCUCUACAUAGAAACUCAAUGUCUCCAAGUCCUCCAUAACUAUGUACCCACCUGUUUGGUUAAAUAGCCCAAUAUCACAAAUCACAGUUUGCCUCCGAGCGCUGAACAAUCUGUACAACACAGGACGUCUUUUACUGCAUCAGAUAAGGAAACACGUCUGUUAAAAUAUACAUGUGAUAUUUUA